rnacentral:rRNA from 1 species
UACGAAGGGGGCGAGCGUUGUUCGGAUUUACUGGGCGUAAAGGGCGCGCAGGCGGUUCUGUUUGUCAGGCGUGAAAGCCCCGGGCUCAACCUGGGAAUUGCAUUUGAAACUACGAGGCUAGAGUGUGUCAGAGGGGGGUAGAAUUCCACGUGUAGCAGUGAAAUGCGUAGAGAUGUGGAGGAAUACCGAUGGCGAAGGCAGCCCCCUGGGAUAACACUGACGCUCAUGCACGAAAGCGUGGGGAGCAAACAGG